CCCGAGAGGGACCUUUUGUGAGCCGGAGGCUCAGUAUAUUUUUACAAAGUCUUCCCUGCUUUCAGUAAGUUUCCUUUUUAUGUAAAUGCCAGUCUCUGAACAGACUGCACUGAGUUUUUGGAGUAACUCUUCAGUCCACUUCUACUUUGUGAUCUUUAUUUUUUUUAAGCAUUUUUAUUGACGUGUAGUUGGCAGACAAUAUAAUUAAUAUUGGUCUCAGAUGUACAGCGUUGUGACUGGACAGAUGUCUGCACCUCCCCGUGUGCUCAGCGCCCUAAGGUGUUAUAUUUUUAACAAAUGGAAGGCAAGACCCUCUUCCAGGAAAAAGAUUACGACUCACUUCAUUGUGAUACUUGCUUUAUUGCAGUGCAGUAUCUCCCAGGAUACUCUAUGAAGUUCGGCGAAAAAUCAACAAAAGAAAGAAAAAAGAGAAAACACCAAGUUCUAUGACUCCAGGACUCCAAGGCAUUUCUGCUGAGUAGCUCUUCUGGGACAAGCAAGCCCGUGAAGCUUUCCGAGUGUUGCUCUUCAGAUUGAAUACAACGGCACGUGAAAACAAUUACACGGAGAAAAAUCAAGAAAAGUUGGAAGGGUUUUUAGGAUAACAUAAUGCAGCAAAAACACAAGUUUAGAAACAUCUUGGAAAUUCAAACUAGAUUUUCUGAGUUAUUUUGGAAUGGCUGAGGGCAGAUGGUAAAAACCACACAUG